CCGGUGUCUGGGGUUUGCUAAACUACUCCACGCUGGUGGGAAUUUAAGGGAAACAAACUGAUUUAUUUCACCAAAAGGCAGAUCUUUGUUUCAGUCUGAAGGCUGAGCUGAGGGGCAUGGCAAGCUGCUGGGGUGGGUUCUACAGCUAUUAGAACUGCACAGUGGCACUCAAACAGGCUCCCUUCCCCAGAAGGUAUGUUCCUUUAGGAACAGUUAUUUGAGAGGAGUUUUAUGUAUGUUUUAUACAUCUCUACAUGCCUUGGGCCUUCUUGAGGGCAAAUGCCUCACUGAGUUCUGGCUCCUAAUCCCAGUAUGUUUGGUCAAGACCUGAAUUUGUAAUGGCCUUGCUAAUGAAACACGAUUUGUCUUAGCUCUACUCCUCGUUGUGCAAAGGCAUGACAGGAGCGCAGUGUUCUUGCUCCUUAUAUGUGGACAGGAUUAAUGUGGCUUCUUGAUAAGCCUGUCACUGUAAUGGAUAAACAGUCUUUGCCAAGAGGGCUUCAGCGCUUCAGAGUAGAAGCAUUUUAUUUUUCCUCUUAAUUUUCAUCAUCUCUAAUAUGAGAAACGCUUCAUAAAUACUUUCAUGGCAAAAGUAAAUACGGCUUAUUUGCUGAUUAGUUCUAGAGAACAGCUAUGAAUAAAGCAGUUCUGAAACUCAGCGCCCCUGUGUUUGUGAUCAAAGUGCAAACCAAUUCCGCUUGUUAGAUAUGUGGAAUUGAGUAUAAGGCCGUGUGAUCAAAACCCAACAACAUCUCCUACCAAACCACUUUAACUGGAGGACCAAAGUCUGCAUUAUUUUUCCUCCGUAUGCCGUGUUUUCACUUGCUGUCGUAUCAGACACAGCUAAAGGACUGAACUGUUGCACAUGUGUGAGAAUGAUGACUAUAAUUAAUUUAAGGCACGUGUAAUUGCAUGAGGUAAUGACCUCACAGCUUCAGUCUCGUCACAUGAACAGCUUAAUUAUUGGCUGUAGAAUGACAGACGGUGUCCUGCAGACGAUCAGACACGGACUGUGCUGAAGACCAGCCUGACUCUUAACCAAAGGUUUGUAUUUCCUUUUAAGAUGCAUCAUGCACCGAAGUAAUCACCUGUAUUUAUCAGGACAAAGUAUUAUAUAACGAUUUCCUCCUGGGCAUCACUUAGCCUCCUUAUGGCUCCUAAUGAUGGAAGUGUUCUGUUCUGUCUUACCCUGAGAUUUUCAGUGCAGCAUUCGAGCACUUUCCCAUUAACCUCAAAUGAGACUAAUACGCAAAUGCGUGGUUUGUUCCCAUCUCCCCACAUUGGGCUGCAGUGUGCUUGCAGUACAGGUGGGAAGAAUCGUGCCUUGCAGCAUGGGAGAGCAGGUACCGAAGGGUCCUUUGGUCUCCAAGGAGCUCAUUCUCCAAAUUCAGACAGGUCCCUGGAAAAUG
rnacentral:lncRNA from 1 species